rnacentral:rRNA from 1 species
CCUACGGGUGGCAGCAGUGAGGAAUAUUGGUCAAUGGGAGGGAUCCUGAACCAGCCAUGCCGCGUGCAGGACGAAUGCUCUACGAGUUGUAAACUUCUUUUGUACCGGAGUAAAAUGCUCCACGAGUAGGGGUUGGAGAGUACGUGACGAAUAAGCAUCGGCUAACUCCGUGCCAGCAGCCGCGGUAAUACGGAGGAUGCGAGCGUUAUCCGGAUUGAUUGGGAUUAAAGGGUGCGUAGGUUGUUUAAUAAGUUAGCGGUGAAAUACGGAGGCUCAAACUCGGGGCAGCCGUUGAUACUGUAGGACUAGAGUACGGCAGAAGUAGGCGGAAUGUGUGGUGUAGCGGUGAAAUGCAUAGAUAUCACGCAGAACUCCGAUUGCGAAGGCAACUUGCUAGGCCCCAUCUGACACUGAUGCACGAAAGCGUGGGGAUCGAACAGGAUUAGAUACCCUGGUAGUC